GACAGAGGAGCCAAGCGUUGCCCGGAUUGACUGGGCGUAAAGCGCACGCAGGCGGAACGGCGCGUGGGGUGUGAAAGCUGGCGGCUUAACUGCCAGUCGCCAUCCCAUACGGCCAUUCUGGAGCCUUGCAGAGGGCAGUGGAGUUGCCGGUGUAGUGGUGAAAUGCGUAGAGAUCGGCAGGAACACCCAGGGGGAAACCAGCUGCCUGGGCAAGCGCUGACGCUGAGGUGCGAGAGCGUGGGGAGCGAACCGG
rnacentral:rRNA from 1 species